CACGCCCUAAACUAUGUCAACUAGUUGUCGGAUCUAAUUAAGGAUUUGGUAACGUAGCUAACGCGUGAAGUUGACCGCCUGGGGAGUACGGUCGCAAGAUUAAAACUCAAAGGAAUUGACGGGGACCCGCACAAGCGGUGGAUUAUGUGGAUUAAUUCGAUGCAACGCGAAAAACCUUACCUACCCUUGACAUGCCUGGAAUCUAAUGGAGACAUAAGAGUGCCCGUAAGGGAACCGGGACACAGGUGC
rnacentral:rRNA from 1 species